rnacentral:misc_RNA from 1 species
AACUUUUAGCAAUGGAUCACUUGGUUGUGGCAUCUAUGAAGAACGCAGCGAAAUGCGAUAAUUAAUGUGAAUUGCAGAAUUUAGUGAAUCAUCGAAUCUUUGAACGCACAUUGCGCCCCUUGGUUUUCCGGGGGGCGUGCCUGUUCGAGCGUCAUUUCAACCCUCAAGCUCUGCUUGGUCUUGGGCCGCGCCGGCAACGGCGGGCCUCAAAAACAGUGGCGGCGCCAUCUGGUCCCUCAGCGUAGUAAUUCUUCUCGCUGCUGGGCCCCGGUGGCGGCUUGCCAACAACCCCCAAUUUUUAUGGUUGACCUCGGAUCAGGUAGGGAUACCCGCUGAACUUAAGCAUAUCAAUAAGCGGAGGC